AGUGAACGCUGGCGGUAGGCCUAACACAUGCCAGUCGAACGGCAGCACAGUAAGAGCUUGCUCUUACGGGUGGCGAGUGGCGGACGGGUGAGGAAUACAUCGGAAUCUACUUUUUCGUGGGGGAUAACGUAGGGAAACUUACGCUAAUACCGCAUACGACCUACGGGUGAAAGCAGGGGAUCUUCGGACCUUGCGCGAUUGAAUGAGCCGAUGUCGGAUUAGCUAGUUGGCGGGGUAAAGGCCCGCCAAGGCGACGAUCCGUAGCUGGUCUGAGAGGAUGAUCAGCCACACUGGAACUGAGACACGGUCCAGACUCCUACGGGAGGCAGCAGUGGGGAAUAUUGGACAAUGGGCGCAAGCCUGAUCCAGCCAUACCGCGUGGGUGAAGAAGGCCUUCGGGUUGUAAAGCCCCUUUGUUGGGAAAGAAAAGCAGCAGGUUAAUACCCCGCUGUUCUGACGGUACCCAAAGAAUAAGCACCGGCUAACUUCGUG
rnacentral:rRNA from 1 species